rnacentral:rRNA from 1 species
UACGGAGGGUGCAAGCGUUAUCCGGAUUCACUGGGUUUAAAGGGUGUGUAGGCGGCACAGCAAGUCCGUUGUGAAAUCUCCGAGCUUAACUCGGAAAUUGCGGUGGAUACUAUUGUUCUUGAAUACUGUUGAGGUUAGCGGAAUAUGUCAUGUAGCGGUGAAAUGCAUAGAUAUGACAUAGAACACCAAUGGCGAAGGCAGCUGGCUAAACAGAUAUUGACGCUGAGGCACGAAAGCGUGGGGAUCAAACCGG